rnacentral:rRNA from 1 species
UUCCGUAGGUGAACCUGCGGAAGGAUCAUUCACACGUAUCCAUCCAAUUCACUGUGAACCUUAUUUGUGAAGCUCUGCUCGAGGAAGGGUUUCUCUUCGCUUUCUGGCGCACUGCUUCGCGGGUAGUGAAUCGGUAUUGGACCGUCUUCCUUUACCGUGAAGCUACCGCUAUUUGUCGAAACUUGCGUGUACGUCAAUUCCGCUCGACUGGUGCUCAGGCACCUGCUUUAGCAUUGAUCACAACUUUCAGCGACGGAUGUCUCGGCUCGAACAACGAUGAAGGGCGCAGCGAAGUGUGAUAAGCAUUGUGAAUUGCAGAAUUCCGUGAACCAAUAGGGAUUUGAACGUAUACUGCGCUUUCGGGAUAUCCCUGAAAGCAUGCCUGCUUCAGUGUCUAUUGAUAUUCAUGCCACUGACGCUUUCCAAUCCUGUUGGUCUCGUCAAGUGUGCGUCUCUGUGUGUCAAGGAGCUUUGCGCUCUUGACGCAUUGAAUACAUAGGCGCGGUCCUCAGCGAUCAAUUUGAAAACCACCUCUGGUGUCUUCUUCUGUUGGUCAGCUGCGGUCUCCGAGCCUAGCGUCUGUCGGUUGUCUCUGAUUUCAUUCAAGACAUGAAGUUAGGUAAGCAAACCCGCUGAAUUUAAGCAUAUCAAUAAGC